UUUCCCGGUUGAUCCCGCCGGGACCCGACUGCUAUCAGAAUAGGACUAAGCCAUGCGAGUCAACGUAGCAAUACGUGGCAUACGGCUCAGUAACACGUAGUCAACAUGCCCAGGGGACGUGGAUAACCUCGGGAAACUGAGGAUAAACCGCAAUAGGUCAUAAUAUCUGGAAUGAUUUAUGGCUAAAAUCUACAUGGCCCCUGGAUUGGACUGCGGCCGAUCAGGCUGUUGGUGAGGUAAUGGCCCACCAAACCUAAAACCGGUACGGGCUUUGAGAGGAGAAGCCCGGAGAUGGGCACUGAGACAAGGGCCCAGGCCCUAUGGGGCGUAGCAGGCGCGAAAACUCUGCAAUAAGCGAAAGCUUGACAGGGUUAUUCUGAGUGAUUUCCGCUAAGGAGAUCUUUUGGCACCUCUAAAAACGGUGCAGAAUAAGGGGUGGGCAAGCCUGGUGUCAGCCGCCGCGGUAAUACCAGCACCCCGAGUGGUCGGGACGAUUAUUGGGCCUAAGGCAUCCGUAGCCGGUUCUACAAGUCUUCCGUUAAAUCCACCUGCUUAACAGUUGGGCUGCAGAGGAUACUAUAGAGCUAGGAGGCGGGAGAGGCAAGCGGUACUUAGUGGGUAGGGGUAAAAUCCGUUGAUCCACUGAAGACCACCAGUGGCGAAGGCGGCUUGCCAGAACGCGCUCGACGGUGAGGGAUGAAAGCUGGGGGAGCAAACCGGAUUAGAUACCCGGGUAGUCCCAGCUGUAAACGAUGCAGACUCGGUGAUGAAUAGGCUUCGUGCCUAUUCAGUGCCGCAGGGAAGCCGUUAAGUCUGCCGCCUGGGGAGUACGGUCGCAAGACUGAAACUUAAAGGAAUUGGCGGGGGAGCACCACGAGGGGUGAAGCCUGCGGUUCAAUUGGAGUCAACGCCGGG
rnacentral:rRNA from 1 species